AUUGAACGCUGGCGGCAUGCCUUACACAUGCAAGUCGAACGGUAACAGGGAGCUUGCUCCGCUGACGAGUGGCGAACGGGUGAGUAAUAUAUCGGAACGUACCUUUGAGUGGGGGAUAACUAGUCGAAAGACUAGCUAAUACCGCAUACGAUCUACGGAUGAAAGUGGGGGAUCGCAAGACCUCAUGCUCAUAGAGCGGCCGAUAUCUGAUUAGCUAGUUGGUGAGGUAAAGGCUCACCAAGGCUUCGAUCAGUAGCUGGUCUGAGAGGACGACCAGCCACACUGGGACUGAGACACGGCCCAGACUCCUACGGGAGGCAGCAGUGGGGAAUUUUGGACAAUGGGGGCAACCCUGAUCCAGCAAUGCCGCGUGAGUGAAGAAGGCCUUCGGGUUGUAAAGCUCUUUUGUCAGGGAAGAAACGGGGGAUCCUAAUACGGUCCCCUAAUGACGGUACCUGAAGAAUAAGCACCGGCUAACUACGUGC
rnacentral:rRNA from 1 species